rnacentral:rRNA from 1 species
AGAGUUUGAUCCUGGCUCAGGACGAACGCUGGCGGCGUGCCUAAUACAUGCAAGUCGAGCGAGCGGAACUAACAGAUUUACUUCGGUAAUGACGUUAGGAAAGCGGGCGGCGGAUGGGUGAGUAACACGUGGGGAACCUGCCCCAUAGUCUGGGAUACCACUUGGAAACAGGUGCUAAUACCGGAUAAGAAAGCAGAUCGCAUGAUCAGCUUUUAAAAGGCGGCGUAAGCUGUCGCUAUGGGAUGGCCCCGCGGUGCAUUAGCUAGUUGGUAAGGUAAAGGCUUACCAAGGCAAUGAUGCAUAGCCGAGUUGAGAGACUGAUCGGCCACAUUGGGACUGAGACACGGCCCAAACUCCUACGGGAGGCAGCAGUAGGGAAUCUUCCACAAUGGACGCAAGUCUGAUGGAGCAACGCCGCGUGAGUGAAGAAGGCUUUCGGGUCGUAAAACUCUGUUGUUGGAGAAGAAUGGUCGGCAGAGUAACUGUUGUCGGCGUGACGGUAUCCAACCAGAAAGCCACGGCUAACUACGUGCCAGCAGCCGCGGUAAUACGUAGGUGGCAAGCGUUAUCCGGAAUUAUUGGGCGUAAAGGGCUCGUAGGCGGUUCGUCGCGUCCGGUGUGAAAGAAGCCCUCGGCUUAACCGAGGAAGUGCAUCGGAAACUGGGAGACUUGAGUGCAGAAGAGGAGAGUGGAAUUCCAUGUGUAGCGGUGAAAUGCGUAGAUAUAUGGAAGAACACCAAUGGCGAAGGCAGGUCUCUGGGCCGUUACUGACGCUGAGGAGCGAAAGCGUGGGGAGCGAACAGGAUUAGAUACCCUGGUAGUCCAUGCCGUAAACGAUGAAUGCUAGGUGUUGGAGGGUUUCCGCCCUUCAGUGCCGCAGCUAACGCAUUAAGCAUUCCGCCUGGGGAGUACGACCGCAAGGUUGAAACUCAAAGGAAUUGACGGGGGCCCGCACAAGCGGUGGAGUAUGUGGUUUAAUUCGACGCAACGCGAAGAACCUUACCAGGUCUUGACAUCUUUUGAUCACCUGAGAGAUCAGGUUUCCCCUUCGGGGGCAAAAUGACAGGUGGUGCAUGGUUGUCGUCAGCUCGUGCCGGGAGAUGUUGGGUUAAGUCCCGCAACGAGCGCAACCCUUGUUGUCAGUUGCCAGCAUUAAGUUGGGCACUCUGGCGAGACUGCCGGUGACAAACCGGAGGAAGGUGGGGACGACGUCAAGUCAUCAUGCCCCUUAUGACCUGGGCUACACACGUGCUACAAUGGACGGUACAACGAGUCGCAAGACCGCGAGGUUUAGCUAAUCCCUUAAAGCCGUUCUCAGUUCGGAUUGUAGGCUGCAACUCGCCUACAUGAAGUCGGAAUCGCUAGUAAUCGCGAAUCAGCAUGUCGCGGUGAAUACGUUCCCGGGCCUUGCACUCACCGCCCGUCA